rnacentral:rRNA from 1 species
AUUGAACGCUGGCGGCAGGCCUAACACAUGCAAGUCGAGCGAGCGGCGGACGGGUGAGUAAUGUAUGGGGACUGCCCGAUAGAGGGGGAUAACUACUGGAAACGGUAGCUAAUACCGCAUACUAUCGGAUAACCCAUAUGGGAUUAGCUAGUAGGUGAGGUAACGGCUCACCUAGGCGACGAUCCCUAGCUGGUCUGAGAGGAUGAUCAGGCACACGGGGACUGAGACACGGACCAGAAUCCGACGGAGGCAGCAGUGGGGAAUAUUGCACAAUGGGCGCAAGCCUGAUGCAGCAAUGCCGCGUGUGGGAAGAAGGCCUUAGGGUUGUAAAGCACUUUAAGUCGGGAGGCGUUACCGGAAGAAGAAGCACCGGCUAACUCCGUGCCAGCAGCCGCGGUAAUAC